GUUUUUUUGCUGCCUGCAGCGGUUUUCUGAUGACUUUUGGGCUGGAAAACCGCGAGACUAUCUGGCAACACUGUCUGUGAGGUCCGGACUUUAUUUUGAAGGUGGACUCUGGAGCGCACGCGGGACGUUUGCCACUCUCUGCAGAGGAACAUUUCUGGGAACCCUGCGUGGAAGAAGCGCCAUCAGUGCCCUGUCCCACGAGCAUACCAUGAACCCUCCAGGUCUUUACCCUCCGCCCACCAGCUCCGCACCCAAUGCCUUUGGGAACCAGCCUGCCUACGGGGGCCCAGCGAUGAUCCCCCCACUCAAUGCUGCUGUCCCCACCAUGCCCGGCGGCCUCUCAGGUUAUGAGGGCAUGGGUUCAGGGGGCUACGUUCCUCCCCCCGCCCCC